CCGACGGUGAGGGAUGAAAGCUGGGGGAGCAAACCGGAUUAGAUACCCGGGUAGUCCCAGCCGUAAACGAUGUGCGUUAGGUGUAUCGGUGACCACGAGUCACCGAGGUGCCGAAGAGAAAUCGUGAAACGUACCGCCUGGGAAGUACGGUCGCAAGGCUGAAACUUAAAGGAAUUGGCGGGGGAGCACCACAACAGGUGGAGCCUGCGGUUUAAUCGGACUCAACGCCGGGAAACUCACCAGAUAAGACAGCUGAAUGAUAGUCGGGCUGAAGACUCUACUUGACUAGCUGAGAGGAGGUGCAUGGCCGUCGUCAGUUCGUACUGUGAAGCAUCCUGUUAAGUCAGGCAACGAGCGAGACCCACGCCAACAGUUGCU
rnacentral:rRNA from 1 species